rnacentral:rRNA from 1 species
GACGAACGCUGGCGGCGUGCUUAACACAUGCAAGUCGAACGAAGUGGCGAACGGGUGAGUAACGCGUAAUCACCCUGCCCUUCAGAGGGGGACAACAGUUGGAAACGACUGCUAAUACCGCAUACUGAUGCAUGGGAUUGCGUCUGAUUUGCUAGUUGGAGGGGCAACGGCCAACCAAGGCGAGGAUCAGUAGGCGGCCUGCGAGGAUGAACGGCCAAAUUGGGACUGAGAGACGGGCCAGACUCCUACGGAAGGCAGCAGUGGGGAAUCUUCCGCAAUGGACGAAAGUCUGACGGAGCAACGCCGCGUGAGUGAUGACGGCCUUCGGGUUGUAAAGCUCUGUUAAUCGGGACGCGGUACCGGAAUAGAAAGCCACGGCUAACUACGUGCCAGCAGCCGCGGUAAUAC